UGAAAAGUGGCCCUAAUUGACAGAUUCUCCUCUCCUCUCCUCUCCCAACCUGCUCUCCCUUCUCUGCUCUGGUUGAGAGAACGGCCGUCGUUUCUAGGGUUUCGUCGCAACAACCAAAAUGGUUCUUCCGGAUGACAUUGAUCUGUUGAAUCCUCGGGCGGAGCUCGAGAAGAGGAGGCACAAACUCAAGCGCCUCGUCCAAUCCCCCAAUUCCUUCUUGAUGAACAAUAUUGUUUAGCCACUCACAGACGGUUGUGCUGUGUGGCAAUUGCCAGAAUGUGCUGUGCUAGCACAACAGGAGAUCGUGCAAGGCUCACCAAGGAAUGCUCCUUUUGAAAGAAUAAAGAUUGAAGCUGGGAGAGAGUGGUGUUUUUUCCCCCUCAACUAAAAUAAUCAAGUGUUUUUGCCUGUAUAUAUAAUAGAGUUAUAUCCUAGUUUAAUCCGUGAUCAUCCAUAUGAGUUAUAUCAUAGUUUAAUUCGUGGUCAUCCAUACGUGUUAAAUCGUAUUUCUUGGUUUUGAAGAGAAAUACGUUAUGAGACUACAUCGAAAGUCUGGAUGAAGCUUCCCAUGUCAAUGAGAUUUUGCAGAGAAAAUAUUGAACUUCUAACAUGUGAAUGAGAGAAUGUGUUGUAUCAUGAUUAAAUUUGUUUUUCAAGGGCGAUUAUUAUAAUAUACGUGUUUUGCUA